AGUGACGAUAGCCUAGGAGAUACACCUGUACCCAUACCGAACACAGAAGUUAAGCCCUAGAACGCCGGAAGUAGUUGGGGGUUGCCCCCUGUGAGAUAGGGAAGUCGCU
rnacentral:rRNA from 1 species